rnacentral:rRNA from 1 species
UACGUAGGGGGCAAGCGUUGUCCGGAAUCAUUGGGCGUAAAGAGCGUGUAGGCGGUCCGAUAAGUCCGCUCUGAAAGCCCGGGGCUCAACCCCGGGAGGCGGGCGGAUACUGUCGGGCUAGAGUCCGGAAGAGGCAAGUGGAAUUCCUGGUGUAGCGGUGAAAUGCGCAGAUAUCAGGAGGAACACCGAUGGCGAAGGCAGCUUGCUGGGACGGUACUGACGCUGAGACGCGAAAGCGUGGGGGAGCAAACAGG